UUACGAUGAGUUCUUGUUUAACGCAGAAAGAAUGAAUUGAACUCAAACAAGUCACCCCUAAAAUGGUUAGGCUCAGGAACAAACUUGAAAGCUCAGCCAGUAUGUCCGAUCCGGCUCCUCAACCACAGGAACUUCCUCAAGCGCUGCGGCCGCCUCAAGACGCCGUCGUGCAAAACAUUGCUGCUCCCGAAACAAGCUCAGGAUACCCCUAACCAGCUCAGGACACACCUAAAUGGUCAUAGAACUCGAAAGAGGCGUUCAAGAUUAACAUCAUCAGUGGAGUACAUGACAUCUGGUGCGAAGAGUUCAUAGGGCGUUGUCACCUUUUUGAGUAACUUGCACCGUGUUUCUCCAUGUGUAAGGUCAUCAAAUGCCAUGAAUAUUAGAUUUAAUCUUGGUUCCUUCAGCCCCUUU